rnacentral:rRNA from 1 species
UACGGAGGAUGCAAGCGUUAUCCGGAUUUAUUGGGCGUAAAGCGCGCGUAGGCGGCUUGUUAAGUCAGGCGUGAAAUCUGGGGGCUCAACCCGCAGCUUGCGUCUGAAACUGGCAGGCUUGAGUCUGGUAGAGGAAAGUGGAAUUCCUAGUGUAGCGGUGAUAUGCGCAGAUAUUAGGAGGAACACCAGUGGCGAAGGCGGCUUUCUGGGCCACGACUGACGCUGAGGCGCGAAAGCUAGGGGAGCGAAC